rnacentral:rRNA from 1 species
GACGAACCGUGCGACCGUUAUUCGGAAUCACUGGGCUUAAAGCGCGUGUAGGCGGGAGGGCACGUCCGUUGCUGAAAUCCCCCGGCUCAACCGGGGAACGGGCGCGGAUACGACUCUCCUUGAGGGGCGUAGGGGGACCUGGAACUUCCGGUGGAGCGGUGAAAUGCGUUGAGAUCGGAAGGAACGCCCGUGGCGAAAGCGAGGUCCUGGACGUUUUCUGACGCUGAGACGCGAAAGCCAGGGGAGCGAACGGG